GUUGAGCUAACCCGUACUAAUUGCCCGUGAGACUUAACCAUACAACACCCAAGGUGUUUGGUGUCGUUAAGCACAAGUUGAUAACCUUUACCAAAUCAUGACGGCUUGCGCCCAAGGCGCAAGUUACGUAAAAGUAGGUCGCGCUUAUAGCGCGACAGCAAGAGAGUGGCAUCACAAUCAGCCUUUCAGUUGUUACAACAGUUUUUGUCUGGCGGCCAUAGCGGUAUGGCACCACCUGGCUCCAUUCCGAACCCAGCAGUGAAACAUACCAGCGCCGAUGGUAGUGUGGGGCUUCCCCAUGUGAGAGUAGGACACCGCCAGAC
rnacentral:rRNA from 1 species